UGCAAUCUUUCUCAAGAAUAUCAUACGAUUUUUUUCUGACUCCGAUCUUGCCGUCACGCGUUUGUCGAAAUUAACAUGUGUUAGAGGAAUUGCCAAGAGAAUCAACUCAGGUAUGUUAAGGUUAUUCCUUCUUUCUUUUUGGCAUGAUCUAUACGAUACGAACGAAGCGAGCAAAUGCAUAAUUUCCAUAAAUGACUAUUCAUAGAAAUAUUAGAGAUGCUUAUGUUCUUGAUUCCCCAUGUGUAAUAUUAUUCUAUCAUCUGUUUAUGGGUCUCAUAGAAUACGUAAGUUGAUAAAGUUUACUUUAAGGUAUUAUUCAAAGGCAAAAUGGUCUUAUGACACUCUGAAAGAUUUUAUUGACGUACUUCUCAUGCAUUGAAUUCAUGUACAUUGACCCAUGACCAGAUGGCGUUAUAUACACGUAUAUAUGUAUAUUAUAUGUAUAUGGAAUAUGGGGAAAGGUUACGGCGUUAUAUACGCACCACCACCAAAUCAGCUGGUAUACGUUGAUGAUUUGACCACAGUGGCUGAAAUUAUAUGAUGGGAUGCCCUCAGAGGAUUGAUAAUGUUAUGAACGCCUAUAUCCAUGCAUGGUAUGACAUUUAUACACAUAUGCAUGACACUAUAAAAAUGAAAUGAUUCACAGAGCUAUGCAAAAGUACAUGUCGAGUCUUUUACUCCAUGUUUCUCUCAUGUCUUUUAUUUACUGAUUUUCACUCCUUACAGACUCGGUACAUUAUUUGUACUGACGUCCCUUUUGCCUGGGGACGCUGCGUUUCAUGCCCACAGGUCCUGAUAGACAGGUCGAGAGCCUUCCAAGUAGGCUAUCAACUCAGCGGAAGAUGUUGGUGCACUACAUUUGCUUCGAAGUUGCUUGUUUGGUUAGUAUGAUUUAAACGUGUAUUCUUAGAGGCUUGUAGACAAAUGUCAUGUACGUUGUAUGCCCUUGUCGGCCUAUGUUCAGUGUACGAGUGGUUAUUUUGGCCUUAUAGGCACGUAUGUCUUAUGUAUAAGUUG
rnacentral:lncRNA from 1 species